rnacentral:rRNA from 1 species
GACGAACGCUGGCGGCGUGCCUAACACAUGCAAGUCGAACGAAGCAUAGCAAUAUGCUUAGUGGCGGACGGGUGAGUAACGCGUGAACAAUCUGCCCUGUACAAAGGAAUAGCCUCGGGAAACCGGGAUUAAAACCGUAUGACACUUUAGUAUCGCAUGAUAAGAAAGUCAAAUCGAAUAGAGGUAUGGGAUGAGUUCGCGUCUGAUUAGCUGGUUGGCGGGGUAACGCCCACCAAGGCGACGAUCAGUAGCCGGCCUGAGAGGGUGAACGGCCACACUGGAACUGAGACACGGUCCAGACUCCUACGGGAGGCAGCAGUGGGGAAUAUUGCACAAUGGAGGGAACUCUGAUGCAGCGACGCCGCGUGAGUGAAGAAGGUCUUCGGAUCGUAAAACUCUGUCCUUGGUGAAGAAAAGGACGGUAGCCAAGGAGGAAGCCCCGGUAACUACGUG